GAUGAACGCUAGCGAUAGGCUUAACACAUGCAAGUCGAGGGGCAGCACAAGGUAGCUUGCUAUCUGGGUGGCGACCGGCGCACGGGUGCGUAACGCGUAUGCAACUUGCCCUACACAGGAGGAUAACCCGUCGAAAGACGGACUAAUACUGCGUAUGCUCACAACUUGGCAUCAAGUGGUGAGGAAAGAAAUUCGGUAUAGGAUAGGCAUGCGUCCCAUUAGCUUGUUGGUGAGGUAACGGCUCACCAAGGCAACGAUGGGUAGGGGAACUGAGAGGUUUAUCCCCCACACGGGUACUGAGACACGGACCAGACUCCUACGGGAGGCAGCAGUGAGGAAUAUUGGUCAAUGGGCGCGAGCCUGAACCAGCCAAGUCGCGUGAAGUAUGACUGUCUUAUGGAUUGUAAACUUCUUUUAUACGUGAAUAACAAGAGUCACGGGUGACUCCCUGCAUGUACCGUAUGAAUAAGCAUCGGCUAACUCCGUG
rnacentral:rRNA from 1 species